rnacentral:tRNA from 4 species
GGAAGUGUUAACGUUGGCAGCGUGGAAGGCUCUUGAAAAGCCUACGGCAUAGUGAUAUGCCGCGUGAGUUCGAAUCUCACCACUUCCGC